rnacentral:tRNA from 1 species
GCGGCUGUGGUAUAAUGGUAUUACCCCAGCUUCCCAAGCUGGUGACGAGGGUUCGAUUCCCUUCAGCCGCUC